CGGCGUGCCUAAUACAUGCAAGUCGAACGCAUUGUGGUUGAAAUGAUAUGAAGAACUUGUUCAGAUUUGAUUUUCAACAUUGCAAUGAGUGGCGAACGGGUGAGUAACACGUGGGAAACCUACCUCUUAGCAGGGGAUAACAUUUGGAAACAAAUGCUAAUACCGUAUAAUAAUUAAAACCGCAUGGUUUUAGUUUAAAAGAUGGUCUUGCUAUCACUAAGAGAUGGUCCCGCGGUGUAUUAGUUAGUUGGUGAGGUAAUGGCUCACCAAGGCAAUGAUACAUAGCCGAGUUGAGAGACUGACCGGCCACAAUGGGACUGAGACACGGCCCAUACUCCUACGGGAGGCAGCAGUAGGGAAUCUUCCACAAUGGACGAAAGUCUGAUGGAGCAACGCCGCGUGUGUGAUGAAGGGUUUCGGCUCGUAAAACACUGUUGUAAGAGAAGAAUGACAUUGAGAGUAACUGUUCAAUGUGUGACGGUAUCUUACCAGAAAGGAACGGCUAAAUACGUG
rnacentral:rRNA from 1 species